AAUCAACGCUGGCGGCGUGCCUAACACAUGCAAGUCGAACGCGAAAGGGGGCUUCGGCUCCUAAGUAGAGUGGCGUCCGGGUGAGUAACACGUAGGUAAUCUGCCUUCGGGUGGGGAAUAACCAGUCGAAGAUUGGCUAAUACCGCAUAAUGCAGCGGCACCUAAUGGUGAUUAGUUGUUAAAGCGGGGGAGUCGUAGACCUCGCGCCUGAAGAGGAGCCUGCGGCAGAUUAGCUAGUUGGUGAGGUAAUGGCUCACCAAGGCUUCGAUCUGUAGCUGGUCUGAGAGGACGGCCAGCCACACUGGCACUGACACACGGGCCAGACUCCUACGGGAGGCAGCAGUGGGGAAUUUU
rnacentral:rRNA from 1 species